UCCAGGGAUACAGGCAUCCAGCAACAGGACCUCCGUAAUGCCAUAAUGGAACGUGAGGUCUGGCGUAGCAUGGUAAAUUCCAUUGUCUCGACCACGGUCGAACAAUGAUGAUGAUGAUGACCCUCUCUAGUGAGCUGUAUUUGCUGUGUUACUUCUCUGUAAAUAUUACUCAUAAGAUAGGUAUGAUGGGAUCUAUUGAUGUUUUAGUUUAUCUGAAUGUGAGCAAAUGCUAGAAAUAAUUUCACCUUUUAUUUAACUUAAUUGAUAUUAAUGCUAACUUUAUCAAUGUGUCAAUGUUUAGCUGACUAAAAGCUAUACAUAUUAGGAAACCAAAUUCAAAGUCACAAUGUAUAUACCUAAUAUGACAAUCUUACCUAGUUCAGGUGGUAAAGUGCUCAGCCGAUUUCCUUGAAUAUAUAAUUCCCUUACGCGUUGAAGGCUGCCUAUUUCUUUUGGAAGGGUAUGAAGAUCAUUGUCUCUUAAAGACAACUAGAAAGAAAAAAAAUGUUAUUGUGUCAUGUCAGUUCAUAAGGUUCCAAAUUUGUAUUAAACUUUUAAUAUUUGACAAUUUUAAAGUUCAAUAGCUUGGAUUUAAGGUAUAUUAUCUAUGAUUGCUGAAUGAUUAUUUCAGAUUUAAAUAAUCAGCAUACAUAAUAUAACCUAUAACCUAACUAUUGAACAGUUAUUUUCAUGUUAAUGUUUUGAAUAAUAAUUCAUUAUCUUAAUGAAGAUUUAACUAGUAAUUGUAUAUCUACUUUGUGACGUAAAAGGUUUCUAUAGGAAGUAGGAUUUUGCCGUACUCACAAUUUGCAAAUUUUGAAACUUUCCUAUCUCAGGAGGAAUAAGUGUAAAAUCAUUGUCGCCAAGAUAUAAGGCACGCAGUGUUUCU